rnacentral:misc_RNA from 1 species
GUUGAAGAACGCAGCAAAAUGCGAUAAGUAAUGUGAAUUGCAGAAUUCAGUGAAUCAUCGAAUCUUUGAACGCACAUUGCGCCCGCCAGUAUUCUGGCGGGCAUGCCUGUUCGAGCGUCAUUUCAACCCUCAAGCACAGCUUGGUGUUGGGACUCGCGUUAAUUCGCGUUCCCCAAAUUGAUUGGCGGUCACGUCGAGCUUCCAUAGCGUAGUAGUAAAACCCUCGUUACUGGUAAUCGUCGCGGCCACGCCGUUAAACCCCAACUUCUGAAUGUUGACCUCGGAUCAGGUAGGAAUACCCGCUGAACUUAAGCAUAUCAAUAAGCGGAGGA